AAUCCAGCCAAAAUUCAAAGGCCUGGAGCUCACUGCAGAGUUCGCUGGAAGUCCACAUCAGGAUUUUGAAGGAGGGCACUGGAAGCCUGGAGACAGUUGCCCAAAGGCGAUGGUGAAGACUGGAGCUUCAAAAAUGAAGCAUAAAUGAGGCUUUCUUCUUCUUCGUCUUUUUAUUCCAUCAACUCUACAAGCCUAUUGGUCAGUUUCACCUAUGCUCAGGGUGCAGCUGCCCCCUCCAGGAAAACCAUCAUCCAGACACAUGCAGAACAGUGCUAUACCAAUCUGCGAGGCAUUUCAAGUUGAUACCGUAGAUAAGGAAAUCAGCUGGGGAGAUGAGGUUAGCCCUGCCCAGGCUUCUCAGUUGUUGGGAAUUUAA
rnacentral:lncRNA from 1 species